rnacentral:antisense_RNA from 1 species
UGGUCCUGCGAUUCUGGAACCAGAUUUUGACCUGCGUCUCGGUGAGGCUGAGAGACAGCGCGAGGUUCAGGCGCUCGCACACUGACAGGUAGCGCGUGGCCGGAACUUGUUCUCCAAGGCCACCAGCUGCUCGUAGGUGAACGCGUUUCAGAUUUGUGCGGGGCCGGAUCGAUAGAUGUCAUCUAUUAAAGGUAACCGGGCGCACGGCAGGGAGCGCUGCGCGGGUGAAUUUCUGUGGGUCCAGGAUGUCCAGGACAGAGAAAGAAAUCUUGUGGUGGGAGGGAGCCGCCUUGGCCCCGCCGUCCUGCCAUGCCAGCAUGCCGUCGCCCACGGGCCGGCGGUCGGCGGCGCGGGGUUGGGGAUGGCGCCGCUCGGGCUUUCCUUCGGCUGUGGCUUGGCGGUAGCUUUCCAGCCAGGAGCCGG